rnacentral:rRNA from 1 species
UUAAACUGAAGAGUUUGAUCAUGGCUCAGAUUGAACGCUGGCGGCAGGCUUAACACAUGCAAGUCGAGCGGGGGA